rnacentral:misc_RNA from 1 species
GAUGAAGAACGCAGCGAAAUGCGAUAAGUAAUGUGAAUUGCAGAAUUCAGUGAAUCAUCGAAUCUUUGAACGCACAUUGCGCCCCAUGGUAUUCCGGGGGGCAUGCCUGUCCGAGCGUCAUUACAACCCUCAAGCUCAGCUUGGUGUUGGGCCCCGCCGCCCCGGCGGGCCCUAAAGUCAGUGGCGGUGCCGUCCGGCUCCGAGCGUAGUAAUUCUUCUCGCUCUGGAGGUCCGGUCGUGUGCUCGCCAGCAACCCCCAAUUUUUUUCAGGUUGACCUCGGAUCAGGUAGGGAUACCCGCUGAACUUAAGCAUAUCAAUAAGCGGAGGA